CCGAGCCGGGAGAGCCACCUCCCACACCCUUCGGUGAGGGAGCAGCCCAGCAUUUUUCUGGCUGACUUCUAGCAACCUUGGUCUGCAGACACCCCAGACGUUACUGUCCGGGGCAGAGUAAGGAGGGAAUUCACAGGAGGAGCGCAGACUCAAAAGCAGGAUCCUGACAGGGCGACCAUGACGUCGCAGGGUGAGCUACAUGAUCUGGUGGGAACGCUGACAGGUGGCACCUGGACCAAACCCACGUGUCCGUGCUGCACUUCCCUCAAUGUGGAGCCCCUGGUCCUGAUGCAGUUAGCAGAGAAUGUUGACCCUGUUACCAAGAAGUGGAUCAUCUCCCGCUUAGAGGCCCCCGUCAGGGAUGGGGGGGCACAGCUGCUUGUGCACUCCGGAGAAGACGACAUUGGAAACGUAGUGGUGCUCUCUGCCCCACGCUGUACACAGCUGCAUGUGACGGAGGACCUGGGCAUCUGCAAGCCCUACAAGGAUGGGAACAUGACUCCCUUUUCCUACCAUGACCGCAACAAUUUCAGCAACGUCGACGACAUGCAGGUGUUCCUCACUCUCGCUGAGCGUCAGUACGUGGUGAAGUACCAGCUGAAUUUUGUACGUGCCAAGAAGGAUCGUACCAUUCCAGGGGUCCCAGAGUCCCGCGGGGUCCUCUUUGCCAGAGAGAGCCUCUUUCGGAAGCUGGAGAAGCUGGGCAUAGUCAAGGCCGUGAUUGCCCUGCAUGACCAGCAGAGGCUGGGUGCCCUGGCACGGGCCUGGUAUGCCAAGGGGCAGCUCUUGGGCCAGCCGCUGGACUUCAUCCAGGCCUACUUUGGGAGCUCAGUCGCCUUCUACUUCAGCUUCUUGGACUUCUACACAUGGGCCCUGGUGCCACCCGCCUUGCUGGGGGUGACCCUCAUGCUGCUCCCCAUCUUACGGAGGAUGGCCGGCGGGAUUAAUACGAGGGAGGGGCUGGAUGAAGGAGAACCCUCCAUCAGUGGGCUGGCAGUGCAGGCGGUGUUCAACAUGCUCUGGUCUACGAUGGUGAUGGAGCUUUGGAAGAGGCGCACCGCCAGCUUGACCUACCGAUGGGGGACCAUGCAGCUGACAGAGCGCUAUGCUGAACCCCGGCCUGGGUACCGUGGGCCCCCCGGGUGCAAUCCUGUCACCGGUCGGCCCGAGCCCUGCUUCCCUGACUGGCAAAGGCAGUUGCGUGUGGCGCUGGUUUCGGUGCCCAUGGUAGGCCUCUUCCUGGUCCUGGUGGCUCUGGGCAUGGCCAGUUUCUACUAUUGUGAAGCGCUGGCCCAGAACUUCUAUAAGAGCUACGAUUCCUGGCUUAUGACCCCGGUGCUCUACUUGCCCUCGGUGGCUCACAUCGUAUAUGGCAACAUGCUGGGGACCCUAUAUAACAAUGUGGCCCUGGCGCUCAGUGAAUGGGAGAACCACAGGGAUGAGUCAUCUUACCAGAACUAUCACACCACCAAAGUCCUAGUGUUCAAUUUCUUCAACAGUUUUGCUGUCUUGUUCCACAUUGCCUUUGUCAAGCAAGACCUUCCUUUGCUGAGAAAGCGACUGGCUUCUUUGCUGAUCAUCAGCCAGCUGGUUAAUCAGUGCAGUGAGGUUGUGAUCCCUUUCCUGGUGGACCGGUUCUUCAGCAGCUCUGCAAACAAACCAAAGGAGGACGACCCUGAAGAGGACCAGCUACGAGCUCAGGGCCGCUUGCCCGUUUUUCCCGGUCUGUUCCCAGAAUACCUGGAGCUCCUGGUGCAAUAUGGGUAUUUGAGUCUCUUCUCCUGUGUGUAUCCACUCACCGCCCUGCUACUGCUAAUCAACAACAUCACAGAGAUCCGCACCGAUGCGUUCAAGAUCUGCAGGCUUUUCCGGAAGCCGUUCUCUGCCCCUGUUUCCGACAUAGGGGUGUGGCAGUACGCCUUUGAGAUCCUGGGCUUCGUCUCUGUCGUGUCCAACUGCUGGCUGCUGCUGUUUUCUCCAGGGGUGAAGCAGGUGAUGCAGGAAACAGGCUUCAGCAGCCAUAGUGCUCUGAUCUUUACCAUCAUGUUGGAGGUAAGGGGCUCUGGAGAUGGAGGCAGGAUGGUGAGAAGAUAUUACAGUGUGAGAAGGUGGAGGUAUGAGAGAGUGAGCAGGUAUUACAGUAUAAGAAGGAAGAAGAGCAGGAGGGUGAGCAGGUAUUACAGUAUAAGAAGGUAGAGGAAUGGGAGAAUACAAGCAGAAGACUUUAUUCAAAAAAGUCAGCUUUAUUCAAAUGCCUGCUUAAACAAAAAAGUCUUUAGUUGCUUUAUAAAAGGGUCAACUGACUCAGCUGAGUGCAGCGCCAGAGGGGGACUGUUCCAAACGCCUUGGUGAAACAGACUGAAAGGCACAAUCCCUGCGUGUCUUCAGUCGGGUACGUGGGAUGACUAUGAGGCCCCAUAGCCCAGACCUAAGUGCCCGACAGGCUGUAUAGUAGUACGAGAGGUCAGUAACGUAUUCGGGCGCCCAUGCAGAGCUCUGCUGGUGAGCACCAAAAUUUUUACACAAAUUAUAUACUCAAUCAGAAGCCCAUGCAGUGUGUACAAAAUGGGGGCAACGUGCUCUCCAGCAGACCAGGUUAAAAGCUUAGCAGCUGCAUUUUGAACUAACCGUAGGCAAGAAAGUGAAGGUUUGCUUAGACAUUGUCACAAAACAUUAUAGUAAAUGAAAAGAAGCAAGGCCUUACAUAUGAAUCCCGGCUUUGAGACUGAUAACCCCCAGAUUACAUAAGCUUGAUUUGGCACUUGGAGAGCCAGAAGCCACCUUAAGACUAAUCUCAGAGGGAAGGCUAGGGGGAGCAACAAUUAGGACCUCAGUCUUUCCUGAAUUCAAAGGCAGGUAAUUAUUACAGAGCCAAUUAUUCAUCUGUGACAGUCAACCGGAAUGGAUAGUUUAUUGAUUUGAUUAGGUCAAAAUAAAAUAUGAAGCUGAAUAUCAUCUGCAUAAAAGUGGUAUGAAACGCACCUAAAACAGUUAAUAAUCUGAGACAGAGGAAGGGUGCAUACGGAAAACAUAACUGGUCCAAGAACGGAGCCCUGUGGCACUCCACGUGUCAGAGGAACAAUAACAACACCAACCGAGAAACUCCUAUUAGUUAGAUAAGAGGAGAACCAGUCCAGAACAGAGCCAUAGAUCCCAACAGACUGCUCUAACCUACUAAUUAAUAUCUUCUGGUCCACUGUGCUAAAGGUCACGCUAAGGUUUGAAAAUACUAACACAGAACACUCCCCUGCAUCAGAGGCCACUAAUAGGUCAGAUGUUUCUGUAGAAUGCUGUUUCCGAAAACUAGACUUAUUACAGUGUGAGAUAGUAGACCGGGAGCGUGAGCAGGUAUUACAGUAUGAGAAAGAUGGAAGACCGGGAGGGUGAGCAGGUAUUACAGUCUGAGAAGGUGGAGAAACAGGAAGGUGAGCAGGUAUUACAAAUGUAACAAAGUAUGCUGAUAAAAUUGUACAGAAUAGGAUACAGGAAAACCGGGAAAUACGUUACUGGACUUUGGACUGUUUGUUUUGGACCUUUGGACUGUUAGCCAUGGAUGUUACUUCCAUUUAGGCCACUGAUAUCGUGGCUUUUACAUUCACUGAUUUUUCUGAGCAAGCCCUUUAAAAACAAACUUGGCUGACACGUUUGUUUCGCUCUUUUCAUGAAGCUGCAUGUAUUAUUUGGCCUGUCACCGUAUGUAUCAUUUUGUGGUAUGUUCUGAUAUCAUGUGUCCUGUGGGUUCUGUAUAUUUUAGAAAGCACACUUACCCAGCACCUGAAUGACACCACAAAUCUGACGCCAUAAGAAGUCACUAGUUGUACUUUGACUGAGUAGUUAAGCACUGAGGCUGGGGUGUUCCUGCCAUUGAUAUAUAGUAUCAUGGAGUUCAAAGAUAGAGCAGCUUCUGGUGUGAAGUAUAUAGAUGUACAGUACUGUGCAAAAGUCUUAAGUAGCCAAAGAAAAUGAUGGUUAAAUGGUCUAUGUGUUACUCUAAAACUAUGCUAGUAUGCCUGUCAAAGUUUGUUAGCUUAACCAUUUCAAAACCUCUGCUAAAAUCACCCUAUUAUUUCCAGCAACCAUACAAUAAACCCAUAUAUUUUUCCUUUACUUGACUGCAAGCACAGCUCAUAUAGCUAAUCAAUAUCUCAUUGACUUUUUUAACUAAUUAAGUUAAUUAAUUAAGUGAGCUGGUGGUGAAAUUGAACAAACACAUAGAAUGGCUGAGGUGCCCCUGAGGAGAGGUUUGGAAACUGAAGUGGUGUUCAUUUAGCCAUCCAACUAGAUAUCAGUAACUUUUUGGAGAACAGUUGUACUAGUUCUUAUUGUGUUACUCUUAAUUUGCUCAUGUUUUUAUGUUAAUUUGUGUUUUUUAAGCAAAUGUGCACCUACUACCCAGAUAAAAAGCUUUAAACAUUUCUUUUGACUAGGACAUUUGCACAGUGCUGUAUGUAUGGUUGCAAGGUUUCAUGAAUGCAAGAAACCCCUUGUUAACCUGAGGUGUGGCAUUUCUUGUAGAGAAUGAAAGCUGCAGGCUUGUGCCUGUAGUUAGGCCAUGAGCUGCAUUAAAUGGGUCGACCAGUAGAGGGCAUUACUGCACUCUUUAAUUUUAGUUAUGUCUGAUGAGGAAACAAGAGGCAGAAUUCAAGCAUCCAUCUUAACCACAAGGACAACUCACAGGCUCACAGACUGCAUGUAUGCAUGCGUGUGCUCCUGUGUUCACGUGUGUGCAUUUCCAUGGUGAUGUGGCAUUGACACUGCCCCUCGGGUGUUUAAUUGGGUCUCAUUUAGGGCUAGUUUCUUUGCUCAUAAGUAUGUGUUUGUGUUGUGUACCUCUUUGUGUGUGUGUGUGUCUCUCUCCAGCAUGUCCUCAUCUUGGUGAAGAUGAUCGUGGCCUUUGUCAUCCCAGAUGAGCCGGAUUGGAUCAGCCUUAUAAAGCAGCAGAUUGAGUUUCGUUCUGUGCAAGCCCUCAAACAGCAGAAACGGCGAUGAGAGCAACCAGAGGAGGGAAGGGAGUAGUUAAAAACAGCCACCCCACUUAUAGCAAUGGUACUGAGGGGGAGUAUAACGUCAACGAAGAACAGGGUGGUCACCAAACCCAGGAGAAACACAACUCUUGUUAUGGGAUAUGAACUCAUCAUCUCUCUCUGGAGGACAUAUAGUGUUACUGGCUCAGAUGGCAUGUUGUUAAUUAAAAUGGGGGGGGGGGGGCAGGAUAGUGUAUUCAGUGGAUAAAAUGUGUCAAAUGAGGCUCCUCAAAGAGAACCUCAGUAUUUAUACUGAAAAAAUAAGGCACAGACUGUGUAUAUGAAAUGCAUGUAAAUACAAUUAAAAUGCUUUUAAGAGUAUAUAAACUCUGAUAAACACAUUGCUGACAGGGCUGUAUAUGUUGUAGUGCAAAUUUUAUUUUUAUACCUCAACAGUGUGAUGCAUGACUACAUAGUGUAUAUUUUGUUUCUGAGACCAUAUAUUUGUCAAAAACAUCUAACUGGGGUUAUUGACAGACUGUAAUACUUAGAACUGCUGUUUGGCCAAAGCCAUCUACAUAAACAAACAAACAAAUAAAUACAUAAUGCCAUAAAUACAUAACACUUGGUUGCUAAUAAACAGAGUAGUUACACACAAAAAAUAUGUUUACUUUUCACCUUUGUCAUUAUGUGUGAUACAAAUGCAUUUUUCAGACUGGAACCUAUGUCUGUUUGUAGUAUAUGAAUGCAUAAUCUGCUGACAUUUACAGAUAUUGUAUACUGGACGAUUAAAUAAAACAUGUGGUUGGUUUA